rnacentral:tRNA from 1 species
GGGAGCAUAGCUCAGCUGGGAGAGCAUCUGCCUUACAAGAAGGGGGUCACAGGUUCGAGCCCUGUAGGCCCCA